rnacentral:misc_RNA from 1 species
GAUGAAGAACGUAGCGAAAUGCGAUACUUGGUGUGAAUUGCAGAAUCCCGUGAACCAUCGAGUCUUUGAACGCAAGUUGCGCCCGAAGCCAUUGGGCCGAGGGCACGCCUGCCUGGGCGUCACACGUCGUUGCCCCCCCCAUCUACUCCUUCGGGAUUGCGGGGGGCGGAUGAUGGCCUCCCGUGCGCCUCGCCGCGCGGUUGGCAUAAAUGCCAAGUCCUCGGCGACGCACGCCACGACAAUCGGUGGUUGCGAAACCUCGGUUGCCCGUCGUGUGCGGUCGUCGCGCAUCGAGGGCUCGAAAAAAUUGCCGAGUUCCGGCUCGGCUUUCAACGCGACCCCAGGUCAGGCGGGGUUACCCGCUGAAUUUAAGCAUAUCAAUAAGCGGAGGA